UACGUAGGCAGCGAGCGUUGUUCGGAGUUACUGGGCGUAAAGAGUGCGUAGGCGGUUUUGUAAGUUGGGUGUGAAAUCUCCCGGCUUAACUGGGAGGGGGCGCCGAAAACUGGAAGGCUUGAGUAUGGGAGAGGUAAGCGGAAUUCCUGGUGUAGCGGUGAAAUGCGUAGAUAUCAGGAGGAACACCUGCGGUGUAGACGGCUUACUGGACCAUAACUGACGCUGAGGCACGAAAGCGUGGGUAGCAAACAGG
rnacentral:rRNA from 1 species